rnacentral:rRNA from 1 species
UACGGGGGGAGCAAGCGUUGUUCGGAAUUACUGGGCGUAAAGGGCGCGUAGGCGGUGUGUCAAGUCAGGCGUGAAAGCCCCGGGCUCAACCUGGGAACCGCGCUUGAGACUGGCACGCUCGAGUUCGGGAGAGGAUGGUGGAAUUCCCAGUGUAGAGGUGAAAUUCGUAGAUAUUGGGAAGAACACCGAUGGCGAAGGCAGCCAUCUGGACCGACACUGACGCUGAGGCGCGAAAGCGUGGGGAGCAAACAGG